AUGUCGUCCCUGCGGAACUCGAUUCCGCGGCGGGCUCACAAGGAGCGCGCCCAGCCGGAGUCGCGGAAGAAGUACGGGCUUCUGGAGAAGCACAAGGACCAUAUCCUCCGCGCCAGGGCCUACCAGCGCAAGGAGGAUUUCAUCAGGAAUCUGAAGGAGAAGGCAUCAUUCAAGAACCCAGAUGAGUUCUAUUUCAAGAUGAUCAACAGUAAAACCGUGGAUGGAAUCCAUAGGCCCAAGCCUGAAGCAAAUAAUAAAUACACCGAAGAGGAACGUAUGCUGUUGAAGCAUAAAGACAUGGGAUACAUCUUUCAGGCUGUUCAAAGUGAAAGAAAGAAAGUUGAACGGUUGAGCUCAACCCUUCACUCAGUGGAUGACAAGCGUUCAAACAAGCACAUUUACUUUGCGGAAGACAGAGAAGAAGCCAAAGAAAUACGAUCUAGGAUAGGUCAAAGCAGCAGUACACCUCAAUUUGGCAACAUCCCUUCUCGUAUAAAGAGGAAAACAGCUUCCUCCUACAAGGAGUUGGAAAGCAGGAAAGAAAGGGUUAAGAAUCUUGAGAAAUUGUAUGCGGACAUGGCCUUGCAAAAGGAACUGAAGAAACCUGGACGCAAAAGGAAGCUCCGUGAAGAAGAAAUUGUAAAUUCAGCAUCACAGACUGUUUACAAGUGGCGUGCGCAAAGGAAGCGAUGA
rnacentral:rRNA from 1 species